rnacentral:rRNA from 1 species
AUUGAACGCUGGCGGCAGGCCUAACACAUGCAAGUCGAGCGGAUGAAGGGAGCUUGCUCCUGGAUUCAGCGGCGGACGGGUGAGUAAUGCCUAGGAAUCUGCCUGAUAGUGGGGGAUAACGUCCGGAAACGGGCGCUAAUACCGCAUACGUCCUGAGGGAGAAAGUGGGGGAUCUUCGGACCUCACGCUAUCAGAUGAGCCUAGGUCGGAUUAGCUAGUUGGUGGGGUAAAGGCCUACCAAGGCGACGAUCCGUAACUGGUCUGAGAGUAUGAUCAGUCACACUGGAACUGAGACACGGUCCAGACUCCUACGGGAGGCAGCAGUGGGGAAUAUUGGACAAUGGGCGAAAGCCUGAUCCAGCCAUGCCGCGUGUGUGAAGAAGGUCUUCGGAUUGUAAAGCACUUUAAGUUGGGAGGAAGGGCAGUAAGUUAAUACCUUGCUGUUUUGACGUUACCAACAGAAUAAGCACCGGCUAACUUCGUG